CGACCCCAGGUCAGGUGGGAACACCCGCUGAGUUUAAGUAUAUCAAUAAGCGGGGGAAAAGAGACUUACAAAGAUUCUUUUGGUAUUGGAGAGCCAUCCGAGAAGAGCCCAGCUUGAGAAUCGAUCACCCUCAACGUCUGAAUUGUAGUAUAGAGAAGCGUCCUUUGCGACGGACCGGGCCCAAGUCCCUUGGUAGGGGGCGUCGAAGAGGGUGAAAGCCCCGUCGUGCCCGGACCCUGUCACACCAUGAGGCACUGUCGGCGAGUUGGGUUGUUUGGGAAUGCAGCCCAAAUCGAGCGGUAAAUUCCAUCCAAGGCUGAAUACGAGUGAGAGACCGAUAGCAAACAAGUACAUCAAGGGAAAGAUGAAAAGGACUUUGAAAAGAGAGUCAAAGAGUGCUUGAAAUUAUCGAAAGGGAAGUGGAUGGGGGCCGACAUAGCGCCCCGAUCGGUUAUGGAACGACGAAAGGCGGUCUGUCGAUUGGCUCAUGAUAUGGACUGAAGAAGAUUGCGACGGCGUCCAAAUCACGGGCCUUUGACACGCUUACGGAAUAUCGUCAUUGCGAUCGUGGAUGGCAGCACGCGCCAUCACGACGUGCCUCAGCACUUGUGCGCUCCUAUCAUUGGCCUACGGGCUCCCCAUUCGACCCGUCUUGAAACACGGACCAAGGAGUAUGACAUGUGUGUGAGUUAAGGGGCAAGAAAACCCGUAAGGCAAAAGGAAGCUAAUUGGCGGGAUCCCUUUUGGGGGCUGCACCGUCGAUCGAUCUUGAUCUUCUAAGAAUGGUUCGAAUGAGAGCAUACCUGUCAGGACAAAGACAAAGGAAACUCUUGUGGAGGCCCGAAGCGAUCCUGACGUGCAAAUCGUUUGUCUAACUUGGGUAUAGGGGCGAAAGACUAAUCGAACCAUUUAGUUGCUGGUCCCCUCCGAUGUUUCCCUCAGGAUAGCUGGAGCCCGACUCGAGUUCUAUCUGGUAAAGCCAAUGAUUAGAGGCAUCGGGGGCUCAAUGCCCUCGAUCUAUUCUCAAACUUUAAAUAGGUAGGACGGUGCAGCUACUUCAUUGAGCCGCGCCACGAAGUCGAGAGCUCUAUGUGGGCCAUUUUUGGUAAGCAGAACUAGUGAUACGGGAUGAACCAAAUGCAGGGUUACAAUGCCCAACUACGCGCUAACUUAGAACCCACAAAGGGUGUUGGUCGAUUAAGAUAGUAGGACGGUGGUCACGGAAGUCAAAAUCAGCUAAGGAGUGUGUAACAACUCACCUGUCGAAUCAACUAGCUCUGAAAAUUAAUGGCGUUUAAGCGUGUGACCUACACCCGAUCGUCAGGGCAAGUGCCAGGCACCAAUGAGUAGGAGGGCAUGGCGGUUGUUGCAAAACCUAGGGCACGAGCAAGGGUAGAGCGGCCGUCGAUGCAGAUCUUGGUGGUAGUAGUAAAUAUUCAAAGGAGAACUUUGAAGGCCGAAGAGGGGAAAGGUUCCAUGUGAAUGACACUUACACAUGGGUUAGUCUAUCCUAAGAGAUGGGGGAAGCCCGUCCGAUAGUACCCUGUGUACGAGCUUCGAAAGGGAAUCGGGUUAAAAUUCCUGAAUCGAGACGUGGCGAUUGACGACAACGUUAGGGAGUCCUGAUACGUCGGCGGGGGCUUCGAAAGAGUUAUAUUUUCUGUUUAACGGCCUUUCCACCCUGGAAACGGCUUAGUCGGAGGUAGGGUCCAGCUGCCGAAAGAGCAUCAGACGUCGCGUGGUGUCCGAGGCAUUCUCGACAGCCCUUGAAAAUUCAGAGGACCGAGUGCCUCCCAUGCUCAGUCGUACUCAUAACCGCAUCAAGUCUCCAAGGUGAAUAGCCUCUGGUCAAUGGAACAAUGUAGGUAAGAGAAGUCGACAAAAUGAAUCCGUAACCACGAGAAAAGGAUUGGCUCUGAGGACUGGGCACGGGGGUCCUAGUUCCGAAUCCAUCGGCUGUCAGUGGAUUGCUCGAGCUGCUCCCAUGGCCAGAGCGGGUCACCGUAUGUCGAUCGGGGGAUAGACUGAGAACUGCUCCUUCUGGGGCCUUCCCCAGACAUCGAACAAUCGACUCGUAACUGGUACAGACAAGGGGAAUAUGAUUGUUUAAUUAAAACAAAGCAUUGCGAUGGUCCUUGUGGAUGCUCACGCAAUGUGAUUUUUGCUUAGUGCUCUAAAUGUCAAAGUGAAGAAAUUCAACCAAGCGCGGGUAAACGACGGGAGUAACUAUGACUCUCUUAAGGUAGCCAAAUGCCUUGUCAUCUAAUUAGUGACGUGCAUGAAUGGAUUAACGAGAUUCUCACUUUCCCUGUCUACUAUCUAGUGAAACCACAGUGAAGGGAACGGGCUUGGUAGAAUUAGUGGGGAAAGAAGACCCUAUUGAGCUUGACUCUAGUCCGACUUUAUGAAAUUAGUUGAAGGGUGUAGCAUAAGUGAGAGCCAAAAAUGGCAAAUAUGAAAUACCACUACUUUUAACGUUAUUUUACUUAUUCUAUGAAUCAGAGGUGGGGCAUUGUCAGAUGGGGAGUUUGGCUGGGGUGGUACAUCUAUUAAAAGAUAACACAUGUGUCCUAAGAUGAGCUCAACGAGAACAAAAAUCUCGUCUGGAACAAAAGGGUAAAAGCUCGUUUGAUUCUGAUUUCCAGUACGAAUACGAACCAUGAAAGCAUGGCGUAUCGAUCCUUUAGACCAAUGAAAUUUGAAGCUAGAGAUGUCAGAAAAGUUACCACAGGGAUAACUGGCUUGUGACAGCCAAGCGUUCAUAACGAUGUUGUUUUUUUAUCCUUCGAUGUCGGCUUUUCCUAUCAUUGUGAAGCAGAAUUCACCAAGUGUUGGAUUGUUCACCCACCUAUAGGGAACGUGAGCUGGGUUUAUAUCAUCGUGAGACAAGUUAGUUUUACCCUACUGAUGACAGCGUGCAAUAGUAAUUAAACCUAGUACGAGAGAAACCGUUGAUUCGCAUAAUUGGUCUUCGCACUUGCUUGUAAAGCCAGAGGCGCGAAGCUAUCGUGCAUUGGAUUAUGACUGAACGCCUCUAAGUCAGAAUCUGGGCUAGAAGCGACGCGCGUGCCCACUGCCCAAUUCUCGAGCAGCCACGAUCCAUUGAGAUUCAGCCCUAUGUCGCCCUGAUUCAUCCCUACCCACUUAUUCCAAAUCAAACAAGUCCCUCCCUCUACCAUAUACUUAUCUUGCUUUUCAAAUAAAUCAAACUGAUGUUAGGGAUUAUCAAGUCAUGCGUCACCAAGGCAUGACUUAU